rnacentral:pre_miRNA from 1 species
GGGGGGAGGCUGGAUCCUGGGCUGUGUCUCGGCGCCCUGUGGUCCGGGGCCUGCGCUGUUGGAUUCGCGCUCCCGGGCCGCGCAGCCCCCU